rnacentral:sRNA from 1 species
GUCAGGUGUGGUGGCGCACACCUGUAAUCCCAGAGGCUCAGGAGGCUGAGGCAGGAGGAUCGUGAGUUCAAAGUCAGCCUCAGCAAAUUAGUGAGACCCUAAGCAACUUAGAAAGGCCCUAAGCAACUCAAUGAGACCCUGUCUCUA